AAGGAAAAUAUGACAAUUUUUCAGCAGUACGUAUUUUUUUACCCUUUGUAUUUUGUUUAUACAAUCAUAAAGUGAAUAUGAACCAGAGAUUUCUAUUAAAUAAUGUAAGCUAAAUAUUUCUAAUAAGUACAUCCUCAAUUAUAUAAAUCAAUCAAACAUGUAAUGAGUAACAAACCUUGACAUUAAUUAGUUUAGAAAGAUAUGUAUUUAACAUCAAAAUUUAUUAAAUAUAUACUUAUAUCCUUAAGUACAUAAAAUGUCAUCUUCUAUAUUCUAAUAAUUAAUUAAUUAACAUAAGUUCUACAGAUUAAAAAAUAUGAUAAAAUACUAAUUAUAAGUAGAAAAUGAAAAAGAAAAAAAUAAAAUAGAAUAAUUACAACAAAUUUAAAAUGAUACCGUAUGGUAUAAAGGAAACCAACUCAAUACGUUUUCCAGUGUUACACUACACCACGUUUAUUAUUGUGAGAUCCUCAUAAUCCUAACAAAAAUCUCAAUCUCAUCAAAACAAUACGAAAAACCCUAUCAUAAUCAUUGGUGAUGCAAGAAUAAAAUUGAAAAUUAGAGGAAACACAAAUGAAUAGAGUGACAAAAUAAACAAGUUAGAGAUGUAUAACCUUCAAAAGAUUAACCUAUAUCAGAAAUCACUUGAUCCGUACAUUUGGUAGAUAAGAAAGAAAAUUACUCAUAAAAGAUAGAAAAAAAAGGAAAAUAUGACAAUUUUUCAGCAGUCCGUAUUUUUUUACCCUUUGUAUUUUGUUUAUACAAUCAUAAACUGAUUAUGAACCAUAGAUUUCUAUUAAGUAAUGUAAGCUAAAUAUUUAUAUUAAGUACAUCCUCAAUUCUAUAAAUUAAUCAAACAUGUAAUGAGUAACAAACAUUGACAUUAAAUAAAUUAGAAAGAUAUGUAUUGAACAUCAAAAUUAAUUAAAUAUAUACUUAUAUCCUUAAGAACAUAAAAUGUCAUCUUCUAUAUUCUGAUAAUUAAACAAUUAACAUAAGUUAUACAGAUUAAAAAAUAUGCUAAAAUACUAAUUAUAAGUAGAAAAUGAAAAAGAAAAAAAGAAAAAAGAAUAAUUACAAGAAAAUGAAAAAGAAAAAAAGAAAAUAGAAUAAUUACAAGAAAAUGAAAAUGAGACCGUAUGUUAUAAAGGAAACCAACUCAAUCAUUUUUCCAGUGUUACAUUAGCACCACCUUUAUUAUUGUGAGAUCCUCAUAAUCCUAACAAACAUCUCAAUCUCAUCAAAACAAUACGAAAAACCCUAUCAUAAUCAUUGGUGAUGCAAGAAUAAAAUUUAAAAUAAGAGGAAACACAGAUGAAUAGAGUGACAAAAUAAACAAGUUAGAGAUGUGUAACCUUCAAAAGAUUAACCUAUAUCAGAAAUCAAUUGUUCCGUACAUUUGAUAGAUAAGAAAGAAAAUUACUCAUAAAAGAUAGAAAAAAAAGGAAAAUAUGACAAUUUUUCAGCAGUACGUAUUUUUUUACCCUUUUUAUUUUGUUUAUACAAUCAUAAACUGAUUAUGAACCAUAGAUUUCUAUUAAGUAAUGUAAGCUAAAUAUUUAUAUUAAGUACAUCGUCAAUUCUAUAAAUCAAUCAAACAUGUAAUGAGUAACAAACAUUAACAUUUAAUAAAUUAGAAAGAUAUGUAUUGAACAUCAAAAUUAAUUAAAUAUAUACUUAUAUCCUUAAGAACAUAAAAUGUCAUCUUCUAUAUUCUGAUAAUUAAAAAAUUAACAUAAGUUACACAGAUUAAAAAAUAUGCUAAAAUACUAAUUAUAAGUAGAAAAUGAAAAAGAAAAAAGAGAAAAGAAUAAUUACAAGAAAAUGAAAAAGAAAAAAGGAAAAUAGAACAAUUAGAAGAAAAUGAAAAUGAGACUGUAUGUAUUAAAGGAAACCAACUCAAUCAUUUUUCCAGUGUUACAUUAGCACCACCUGUAUUAUUGUGAGAUCCUCAUAAUCCUAACAAACAUCUCAAUCUCAUCAAAACAAUACGAAAAACCCUAUCAUAANUUGUAACCUCAAGAGGUCAACCUAUAUCCAAGACAUCCACCGGAUUAUCUUACCAUUUGGCUGGGUAUAAGAAUUGAAAACUUACCUCAUAAAAUAGGAAAGAAAAGAAAAAUAUGUAAUUUUUCAGUCUUAGUCGAAUUGUUUUUACCCUUUUAUUUGUAUUUUUAUACCCAAUCAUAAAUGAAUACGCUGAACCAAGAGAUUUCUAUUAAAUAAUGUUAUACCCUUAAAAAAUUUCAUUAAGUAACAUCCCCAAUUUAUCCAAAUCAAUAAAAUACAAAACAUGUAUGAGUAAAACAUUGAGAUUAAAUAGGUUUAGAAGAAGAUAUGUAUUGAACAUUAAAAAUUAAUUUAAAAUAACUAUACUUAUAUCCCUUAAAGCAAUCAUAAAAUGAAAAUCUUCCUAUAUCUGAUAAUUUAAACAAUUAACAUAAUAUAACGAUUAAAAAUAUGCUAAAAUAUAAUAUAAGCUUAGGCGGCGAGUAGAAAUGAAAAAGAAAAAAGCGCAAUAAUUUACUAAAGAAAAUGAAAAAGAAAAAAGAAAUAGAGUAAUUACAAGAAAAUGAAAUAUUGUAAGACCUGAUAUUAGAAACAACUCUCCAAUCCAUUUUUAGUGUUACUUAAGCCACCACCCGUAUUAUUGUGAGAUCUCAUAAUCCUAAACAAACAUCUCAAUCUCAUCAAAACAAUAUGAAAAACCUAUUUUAAUCAAUUGUGGUGUGCUGACGCACCCGCAUAAAGAGGAUAAACUUGAAAAAGAGAAACACAGAUGAAUAAGUCGGACAAAUAAAAUAGUAGAGAUGUUGUAACCUCAAAAGAUCAAUCCUUAUCAAGGAAAGAAAUCAGUUUAUCCUUUAACAUUUGAUAGAUUAAGAAUGAAAUUAGCAUAAAACGAUAGAAAAAACAAGAAAUUAUUACAAUGUUUCCAGCAAUACGUAUUUUUUUACCCUUUGAUGAUUUUACAAUCAUGAACUGAAUAUGAAACAGAGAUUUCUAUUAAAUAAUGUAGAGGGUGGCAAUAUUUCUGGGAAUAAGUACAUCCUCUCCUGGCGAGUGAUAAACAUGAUCAAACAUGUGAUUGUAGUUGGGCAUGGAGUAACGAAUAACCUACACAUAAUUAGUUGAGGAAAGAUAGUAUGUGGGUAACAUCAAAUAUAUUAAAUACAAUCAUACUAUGUGAAUCCUUAAUACAUAAAAUGUGACUUCGAUAGUCUCUAAUAAUAUUAAUAAACAUAAGUCUACAGAUUAAAAAUAUGAAAAAACUAAUUAUAAGUAGAAAAUGAAAAAAGAAAAAAUAAAAAUCAGAAUAAUUACAACCAAUUUAAAAUGACUACCGUUAUGCGUAUAAAGGAAACCAACUCAAUACGUUUUAUCAAACAGUGUGUUACACUACCCACGUUUUUUUGUGAGAUCCUUCAUAAUCCUUAACAAAAAUUUCUCACAUCUCCAUCAAAAAAACAAUAGAAAAAACCCUAUCAUAAUCAUUGUGAUGCAAAGAAAUAAAAUUUGAAAUUAGAGGAAACACAAAUGAUAGAGUGACAAAAUAAACAGUUAGAGAUGAUAUAACCUUCAAGAUUAACCAUUAUCAGAAUCACCUUGGGGGGGGGGGAUCCGUACAUUUGGUAGAUAGAAAAAAAUUACUCAUAAUAAGAUAGAAAAAAAGGAAAAUAUUGACAAUUUUUCAGCAUUCCGUAUUUUUUUACCCUUUGUAUUUGUUUUAUAAAUCUAAACUGCUUAAACCAUAGUAUUUCUAUAAGUAAUGUAAGCUAAAUAUUUUUAUUAUUAAGUACAUCCUCAAUUCUAUAAAUUAAUCAAACAUGUAAUGAGUAACAAAACAUUGACAUUAAAUAAAUUAAGAAAGUUUGAACAUCAAAAUUAAUUAAAUAUUACUUAUAUCCUUAAGACAUAAAAUUGUCAUCAUCUAUAUUCUGAUAUUAAAAAUUGAACAUAAGUUACACAGAUUAAAAAAAAUAUUGCUAAAAUCACUAAUUUAAGUAGAAAAUAAAAGAAAAGAAAAGAAUAAUUACAAGAAAAUGAAAAAGAAAAAGGAAAAUAGAACAAUUAGAAGAAAAUGAAAAUGCGACUUUAUGUUAUAAAGGAAACAAAAUCAAUCAUUUCAAGUGUACAUUAGACCACUUGUAUUUAUUGUGAGAUCUCAUAAUCCGAACAAACAUCGCAAUCUCAUCAAAUAAUAACGAAAAAACCCUAUCUAAUCAUUGGUGACGCCAAGAAUAAAAUGGAAAAUAAAGAGGAAACACAGAUGAAAUGGGUGACAAAAUAAAAAGGUAGAAUUGUGUAACCUUCAAAAAGGAUCAACCUAUAUCAGAAAUCACUGAUCUGUAAUUUGAUACCAUAAGAAUGAAAAAUUACUCAUAAAAGAUAGCAAAGAAAAAGAAAUAUUGACAAUUUCCAGCAGUACGUAUUCUUUUUUUUUUGUACCCUUUGUAUUUUGUUUAUACAAUCAUUAAGUGAAUCUGAACAGAGACUUCUCUAUUAAUAAUGUUAAGCAAAUAUUUUAAGUUAAGUACAUCCCCAUUCUAUACAAAAUUUCAAACAUGUAAUGAGUAAAAACAUUGAGAUUAUAUAGUUUAGAAAAGAUAUGUAUUGAACAUUCAAAAUUAAUUCGAAUUAUAUAUAUCCUUAAGAACAUAAAAUGUCCCAUCUUCUUAUAUUCUGAUAAUCAAAAACAAUUAACAUAAGUUAUACUGAUUAAAAAAUAUGCUAAAAUACUAAUUUAUAAGUAGAAAAUGAAGAAGAAAAAAAAAAGCAUAAUUACAAGAAACUGAAAAAGAAAAAAAAGAAAAUAUAAUAAUUACGAAGAAAAUGAAAAUUGAGUACUGUAUGGAUUAGGAAACCAACUCAAUCAUUUUUCCAGUGUUACAUUAGCACCACCUGUAUUAUUGUGAGAUCCUCAUAAUCCUAACAAAACAUUCUCAAUCUCAUUCAAAAAGCAAUACGAAAAAACCUUUCAUAAUCAUGGUGAGCAAUAAGUAAUUGAAAUAGAGGAAACACAGAUGAUGAAUAGGGUGACAAAUAAAAAAGGUAGAGAUGUUGUAACCUUCAAAAGAUCAAACCUAUAUCAGGAAAUCAAUUACAUUUGAUAGAUAAGAAUGAACAGAUUACUCAUAAGAUUAGAAAAAAUAAAGGAAUUAUUACAAUUUCUCUGCAGUACGUUAUUUUUUUUACCCUGUAUAUUGUUUAUACAAUCAUAAAGUGAUAUGAACCAGAGAUUUCUAUUAAAAUAAUGUAAGCUAAAUAUUUCUAUAAGUUUACAUCCUCACAUUAUAUAUAUCAAUCAACAUGGUGAAUGAGUAAACAAACCUUGACAUUAAUUAGUUUAGAAAGAUAUGUAUUUAACAUCAAAAUUAAUU
rnacentral:lncRNA from 1 species